rnacentral:misc_RNA from 1 species
UGAAAAGUUAUGUUUAAAAAAUAUAUUGAUGUCUUUUUAUUUUAUUAAUUUCUUCAAUAAAAAAUCAAACCAACUGGACAGAAUGAUUAUAUAAAUUUGACAUGAUCCUGAGUUGAUAAAAAUUAACAACUUGUCAAGUAAGACUAGCUAAAUGACUGAUUAUCAGUUUCAGUUUAGACUAUGGCUUCUUGAAACUGUGUGAUGAUUUUAAUCAAUUUUCAUAGAUGUCAAUUUGUUAAUGAUGUAUCACAUAACACACCCUUUGAUCCAAUUGCUAUAAUUCAAACUGCAAUGCUUCUUAAAUUAAAUAUCUUAUCACAUUUG